AGUGAACGCUGGCGGUAGGCCUAACACAUGCAAGUCGAACGGCAGCACAGAAAGAGCUUGCUCUUACGGGUGGCGAGUGGCGGACGGGUGAGGAAUACAUCGGAACCUACCUUUUCGUGGGGGAAAACGUAGGGAAACGUACGCUAAUACUGCAUACGACCUACGGGUGAAAGCAGGGGAUCUUCGGACCUUGCGCGAUUGAAUGAGGGGAUGUCGGAUUAGCUAGUUGGCGGGGGAAAGGCCCACCACGGCGACGAUCCGUAGCUGGUCUGAGAGGAUGAUCAGCCACACUGGAACUGAGACACGGUCCAGACUCCUACGGGAGGCAGCAGUGGGGAAUAUUGGACAAAGGGCGCAAGCCUGAUCCAGCCAUACCGCGUGGGUGAAGAAGGCCUUCGGGUUGUAAAGCCCUUUUGUUGGGAAAGAAAAGCAGCAGGUUAAUACCCCGCUGUUCUGACGGUACCCAAAGGAUAAGCACCGGCUAACUUCGUG
rnacentral:rRNA from 1 species